UUCUAUAUAAUGGCAUAUUCUUUAGAGAUCUUUUCUAAAUACUUAAAAUUUUAUAAAGAAUAUAGACAAAAUUUGAGUAUCGUUCAAUAGCGAAUUUUCAUGGUUUUUUCAAUUUUAAUUUGGAAAAAAGUGAUAUUUCUAAGCUGAUUUUCGAAAAUCUGACUAUUCUAAACGAAAGAGCAUACUUUUUUCUAUAUAAAGGCAUAUUCUUUAGAGAUCUUUUCUAAAUACUUAAAAUUUUAUGAAGAAUAUAGACAAAAUUUGAGUAUCGUUCGAUAGUGAAUUUUCAUGGUUUUUUCAAUUUUAAUUUGGAAAAAAGU
rnacentral:lncRNA from 1 species